ACAAGCGGUGGAGCACGUGGUUUAAUUCGAUGCAAACCGAAGAACCUUACCUGGGUUUGACAUGUGCGUGUUACUGAGGUGAAAGCCGAGGGACCAUAUCUUCGGAUGUGGAGCGUACACAGGUGCUGCAUGGCUGUCGUCAGUUCGUGUCGUGAGAUGUUGGGUUAAGUCCCGCAACGAGCGCAACCCCUGCAUUCAGUUGCCAACGGUAAGGCCGGGCACUCGUGGAUGGACUGCCGGCGACAAGCCGGAGGAAGGUGGGGAGUGACGUCAAGUCAUCAUGGCCCUUAUGUCCAGGGCGACACACGUGCUACAAUGGCCGGCACAGCGGGAAGCGAGGGGGCGACCUUGAGCGGAUCCCUCAAAGCCGGUCUCAGUUCGGAUUGCAGUCUGCAACUCGACUGCAUGAAGUUGGAAUCGCUAGUAAUCGUGGACCAGCCAAGCCGCGGUGAAUACGUUCCCGGGCCUU
rnacentral:rRNA from 1 species